CUAGAGUAGUCAUAUCCAUCAGGACAAAAAAUAGAAUGAUGGUUUCCUAGGCUGGAGGAGGGGAGAAUUGAGAGAUAUUUUUAGAUACAGAUUUAUUUUAUUUUAUUUUAUUUUAUUUUUUUGAGAUGGUAUCUCACUCUGUUGCCCAGGUUGGAGUGCAGUGGUGUAAUCUCAGCUCACUGCAACCUCCACUUCCUAGGUUCAAACUAUUGUCCCACCUCAGCUUCCCGAGUAGCUGGGAUUACAGGCAUGCGCCACCAUAUCCAGCUAGUUUUUGUAUUUUUAGUGGAGAUGGGGUUUCACCAUGUUGGCCAGGCUGGUCAUGAACUGCCGACCUCUGAUGAUCUGCCCACCUCGGCCUCCCAAAAUGUUGGGAUUACAGGUGUGAGCCACUGCGCCCAGCCUAGAUACAGAAUUUCAGUUGAAGAAGAUAAGUUCUAGAGAUGGAUGGUGGUAAUGGUUGUACAGCAGUGUGCAUGUACUGAAUGUCUCUGAACUAUAUACUUAAAAAUGUUUAAAAUGGUAAACCUGAUAUAUAUAUGUUAAAGAAAUGUUUAAAGUUGGCCCAUAUCUGGAGGAUACAGAUCAUCAGAAUAUCUUAAUCAUUGCUGGUGGGAGUGUAAAUUGGUAUAGCGCUUUUGGAACAAUUUGGCGUUAUCCUGUAAAGAUAAACAUUUCCAUGCCCUUUGACCUGCCAUUUUGCUCCUAGGCAUAUACAUAAAAGAAACUUUGUUUUUUUUUUUGAGACAGAGUUUGCUCUGUUGUCCAGGCUCAAGUAAAGUGGCACAAUCACAGCUCACUGCAUCCUUGAUCUUCUGGCCUCCAGCUAUCCUCCCACUUCACCCUGCUAGUAGCUGGGACUACAGGUGCAUGCCACCAUGCCCAGCAAAUUUUUUUUUGUUUUUUUUUGGUAGAGGCAGGGUUUCACUAUUGUAUUAGUUCAUUUUUACGCUGCUGAUAAAAACAUAACCGAAACUAAAACCAAAAAGAGGUUUAAUUGGACUUACAGUUCCACGUGGCUGGGGAGGCCUCAGAAUCUUGGUGGGAGGCAAAAAGCACUUCUUUUUUUUUUUUUUUUUUUUUUUUUUGAGACGGAGUCUCACUCUGUCACCAGGCUGGAGUGCAGUGGCGUGAUCUCGGCUCACUGCAACCUCUGCCUCCUGGGUUCAAGUGAUUCUUCUGCCUCAACCUUCCAAGUAGCUGGGACAACAGGCGCACGCCAUCAUGCCCAACUAAUUUUUGUAUUUUUAGUAGAGAUGGGGUUUCAUCAUGAUGGCCAGGCUGGUCUCCAUCUCCUGACCUUGUGAUCUGCCCACCUUGGCCUCCCAAAGUGCUGGGAUUACAGGCCUGAGCCACCAGGCCUGGUCAAAGGCAUUUCUUAAUGGCAGUGGCAAGAGAUAAAUGAGGAAGAAGUAAAAGCGGAAACACCUGAUAAAACCAUCAGAUCUCGUGAGAUUUACUAUCACGAGAAUAGCACAGAAAAGACCAGCCCCCAUGAUUCAGUUACCUCCCCUUGGGUCCCUCCCACGACACGGGGGAAUUCUGGGAGAUACAAUUCAAGUUGAGAUUUGGGUGGGGACACAGCCAAACCAUAUCAACUAUCUUGUCCAAGCUGGUCUUGAACUCCUGGGCUCAAGCGAUCAUCCUGCCUCAGCCUCCCAAAGUGCUGGGAUUAUAGGAAUAAGCCACUGCCCCCAGUUCAAAAAAACUUUUUAACGAGUAUCAGGUCAUGCAUACAAGAGUGUUCAUGUGAGCACUCUUUUUAAUACCAAAACCUGAAAACAACCCAAAUGCCCAUUAACAGGCAAGGGAAUAGACAAAUUAAUUAGAAGCUCCUGGAGGACAGGGACCACCUCUACAAAAAAUAAAAAAUCAGUACCUUCCCCAUCUCACACAGUGUCCCAGGACCCUGCAGGGCAGUGGAGGUGCACCCAUAAAUAAAUAAGGAUAUAUUUAUAUCCACUCCAAGUGAAUGUACCAUAAUUAUAUGCCAUAAUGUGGAUUAAUCCUAGCAAUAUAGUAUUAAGUGAAAAGCAUAUGUCCUUAAAGAUUACAUAUAAAGUUAAUAACAUCUAAACACUCCCUCCCCCCAAAAAAACCCCACUCUUUUUGAAUAUAUUUACAUGUGACAUUAAAAGGGAAAACAGAAUGAUUUCAGUAGUGUUACCUUGGAAUGGGGAAGAGGCUGGGUGAUACAACUGAAGAUCAAACAGGUGAAUAUGAAUGGAAAUUCAUUUCCUAGUUUUCAUGUUGGUGAUAAUGUCAAGUGUAUUUGUUGUAUUAUUUUAAAUGAAUGAAUGAAUGAAUGAAGGAUUGAGGGUCUUGAAUGCACCAACAAUGAGAAUGUGUCAUGAGUCGAGAAUAAUGAUGUAUCUAAUUCUAUGCAUCUGUGCAUCUGAAGGGGCCUUAGAAAAUGCAUUCUGUAUCUGUUUGAUAUAAAUAAGGGGAAGAUGGUGGGGGGGGGAGUGAUGUUUUAAAUUACUCAGCAUCAAAUAAAAUGGAUACUCUGGAAAAAUGUGUCACAUUUCUCCUGUGGUUUCUAGUACCCUCUGACCAAUUGCCACUUUUGCCUGGGCAUUUAAGCAUCCCAAUUUUAGGAGACUG
rnacentral:lncRNA from 10 species